AUGGCUGAGCUCAUGAGGAGGCCCCGCCUGAUUGGGAAGCUACAAGACGAGGUAAGGAGUAUCGAACCCCAGGGACAGGAAAUUGUUAAUGAAGCCGACAUUAGCAGUAUGACAUACCUAAGAGCAGUCCUAAAGGAGUCAUUCCGAUUUCAUCCUGUUGCACCUUUACUUGCUCCACACCUUGCCAUGGCUGACUGCAGCAUCGAUGGGUACAUGAUUCCUGCUGGGACGCAUGUCUUUGUCAAUGUAUGGGCCAUUGGUAGAGACUCUAGCUCAUGGGAGGAAAGUGAAGAAUUCAUACCUGAAAGAUUUACAGAGGAAGGCCGUGAUGUGCAUGUCAACUUUGUAGGGAGUAAUUUUAAACUCUUGCCGUUCGGGGCAGGACGCAGGAUAUGCCCUGGUAUAAACCUUGGAAUCAUGACUGUUGAGCUUAUGUUGGCAAACUUGAUGUACCAUUUCAACUGGGAACUGCCAAUAGGGGUUGAGAGGAAAGACAUUGAUAUGACAGAGGUGUUUGGACUAACUGUGCGCCUGAAGGAGAAAUUACUGUUAGUUCCAAAAUCAUGCAUGUAA
rnacentral:rRNA from 1 species